UAUCGUCUUCAUGAAGCAUUAUCUCAAAUAUAUAUAUGUAUUUUUUUUAUUAUAUUUCUUAAGAGCUAAAAUAAUGCAAGUUCUAAAAUUCUACAAAUUAAAAGUUCCUCUUUCUAUUUCACCAUUUCGUGGUCAGGACCGCUUCCUCAGGAAAGCUUUAGAGAAAAGUUGUUAUUCACAGGAGCUUUGCUAAGUAAGGUGUCAUGAUCCUAAAUAUUGAAAUAGCGGGUAAAACUGUCGACCUGUAUCAUUUUAAUAACUUUCAUUUUUUUCGCUUCUAAAAAAUGUAAUCAAAAACUUUUGUGUAUUUGUUUUCUUUUUUAAGCUUAAUACCAUAAAGAAAGUUUUUCGUGGAGAUGUCUAUGGGUAAUAGGAAAAUCUUUUGCUAUAUAUGAAUGCCUGUGUGAAGGUGGAUGGCUCAGUGGUUAGAGCAUCAGUUUCACAAU
rnacentral:lncRNA from 1 species